AGUGAACGCUGGCGGUAGGCCUAACACAUGCAAGUCGAACGGCAGCACAGUAAGAGCUUGCUCUUACGGGUGGCGAGUGGCGGACGGGUGAGGAAUACAUCGGAAUCUACUUUUUCGUGGGGGAUAACGUAGGGAAACUUACGCUAAUACCGCAUACGACCUACGGGUGAAAGCAGGGGAUCUUCGGACCUUGCGCGAUUGAAUGAGCCGAUGUCGGAUUAGCUAGUUGGCGGGGUAAAGGCCCACCAAGGCGACGAUCCGUAGCUGGUCUGAGAGGAUGAUCAGCCACACUGGAACUGAGACACGGUCCAGACUCCUACGGGAGGCAGCAGUGGGGAAUAUUGGACAAUGGGCGCAAGCCUGAUCCAGCCAUACCGCGUGGGUGAAGAAGGCCUUCGGGUUGUAAAGCCCCUUUGUUGGGAAAGAAAAGCAGCAGGUUAAUACCCCGCUGUUCUACGGUACCCAAAGAAUAAGCACCGGCUAACUUCGUG
rnacentral:rRNA from 1 species